rnacentral:lncRNA from 1 species
UAAACGUGUUAUAAAUAUUUUGUGAUAUUCAAAGAAGAAUAUACUCUGGAAUAUUACUUGCAGCAAAGAUCAAGCGGGUGUACGGUGGUGUGGUGGUGUAGCUUGAUGUAUUGUGCAGGUGUGGAGACAUGCUAGGCAGGGAGUGGCGGGGACAACUCAACCCGUUUUCUUGUAAGGUUCGGUGGCGGCGAUAACGGGUGCUUUGCUCAGUUUGGGAGUCGAUUUCAAGCGCUGUGUGGCAUCGAGUAAGAACCCGGUUUUGGAGGUGAUUGCAAGACUGUGUGGUAAGUAUCUGGAAUCCUCCCUAAUUGGUCGUCUAGCGUUUCAUUGAUAGUGACGGUUAUAAGCUUGUGAAAAUCAUCGGAAAUUAGCUAUUCUGAAGAUGAUAAGGGAAGUCUCGGCAUCCGAGGUAACAAAGAGAACAUCACCUUCCCGUGGUCCUCAUCAAAGGUUGAGAACGACAACCGAUUCCAAAGAAGUUCGAAAAACAGACUAGCGGAAUGUACCGGGUUUAGUGGGUGGGCGAAGCUAGUUUUGUAAUAGUUUGACUUUGGAAAUUUUGUUCAAAGCAAGUUUGUAACCGGAUCUGAAUUCUCGAUUGUUCGGGUUGAAUAAAUAUUUAUUAAUUUUAAAAAAAAAUUAUUUCGUCGGAAAAAAAAAAAAGAUCGAGCUAAAAAAAAAUAUUAAUCAGGAGAAGACACCUAUGCCUGAUGGUUGGGAUUUGAAUCUGACACCAGUUUACAUAUAGCUGGAAAUGGGAUCGGCCUGAUAGCAAAUUAUUUAUUAUUGGCCCAUUAGAGCAUAACGGGCUUCCAAAACCCAAGAUUAAAAAUAUCAAGGCCCAUAAAGAAAAGUCUUAACCAGGGGACACGUGUACGGUCCUGAUUUCAUCUAAC